rnacentral:rRNA from 1 species
AUGAAACAUCGUGGUUGGAAAGGGAAUCCAAAAUGCUCUUUUUGCGGAGGAAGAGAGACCGCACAGCACUUGUUCUUCGCUUGCCCUGUUGCCAGGAUAACCUGGAGGGCAGUGGCAUGUAUGUUUGGCACUGCUUUAUGCCCUGAUAAUAUUUGGCAGGCCUACUCUUGGUGUUUUACAUUCUUACCUGGGGGGAAAAGUUCUAUACAGCAAGAAUCGUUGCUAUAUGCUGGGCGAUCUGGUCGUGUCGCAACAGGGCCACCUUUGAGUUCAAACCUCUUACAAGCCCGUUUGAAUGUAUCUUCUCUACUUGUGCCUUAA